GGCUGGUCCGAUGGUAGUGGGUUAUUAGAAAUUAUUAACAUCAGUGUCAAUAAAGUUGGUAUACAACACCCGAAUGCUAAAUUUGACUGGCUUACA
ensembl:misc_RNA Y_RNA Y RNA